rnacentral:misc_RNA from 1 species
AACGCACCUUGCGCCCCUUGGUAUUCCGAGGGGCAUGCCUGUUUGAGUGUCUUGAAAUCAUCAAACCGAACCGGUCUUUGUUGCCGGUGCGGUUUGGACUUGGGGGUUUUCUUUGCUGCCGCUUGCGGUGGCUCCCCUUAAAUUGAUCGGUCGGGCUUUCGUGCGGCUCUGUCCCUUGGCGUUGUAUUACCCUCGUCGCUGGAUGGCUCGCGAUAUAGCGCCCUUCUUUGACUUGCCUCUGGAGUGGCGGUCUUCAACUUUUUGUGAUCUGACCUCAAAUCAGGUAGGACUACCCGCUGAACUUAA